AUUGAACGCUGGCGGCAGGCCUAACACCUGCACGUCGAACGCGUGGCGGACGGGUGAGUAAUGUCUGGGAAACUGCCUGAUGGAGGGGGAUAACUACUGGACACGGUAGCUAAUACCGCAUCCCAUCAGAUGUGCCCAGAUGGGAUUAGCUAGUAGGUGGGGUAACGGCUCACCUAGGCGACGAUCCCUAGCUGGUCUGAGAGGAUGACCAGCCACACUGGAACUGAGACACGGGCCAGACUCCUACGGGAGGCAGCAGUGGGGAAUAUUGCACAAUGGGCGCAAGCCUGAUGCAGCCAUGCCGCGUGUAUGAAGAAGGCCGUCGGGUUGGAAAGUACUUUCAGCGGGGAGGCGUUACCCGCAGAAGAAGCACCGGCUAACUCCGUGCCAGCAGCCGCGGUAAUAC
rnacentral:rRNA from 1 species